rnacentral:miRNA from 1 species
CCGGAGGGACGGGAGCCGCGCGG